AGGGGAGUAAGCUAGUGGUCCACGCGCGCGGUCUCCAAAACCGUGAACCCGGGUUCGAAUCCCGGCUCCCCUG
rnacentral:tRNA from 1 species